GGAAGAAGGAGAGAACUUGUUGUAUCAUACAGCAGGGCCAGGGGACACGGGAAUGGUGGCCUGUCAAUGGCUGUGGUCAUCUGUCUAGAGGGAAAUAGUGAGGUCUUCACAUUUCUGUCUGUGAGGAGGAGUCACAAUUCAAAAGGUGGGUUUUGUUCCCAAUUGGAUUGAAUACAAUCAGAGGUACAAGAAGAUAUGACUGAAAAAAAAAUAAUAACAGAAGUCACUAACUUUUGUCUCGCUUAGUUUCCAGCGAAGUUUCCACAAGAUCCAAUACUGUUUUGUGAAAUCUUCCAACUUGGUUAAAACAGCUUCUUCCCCGCCGCUUUUUUCCCCAGAUGAAGUCCUGAGAAGCCACAGACACACCCUGGUUUGCUCAGUGAAAAGGAGCCCUCUACGGAUCGUAGCCCCACACACAGAGUGCCCAGGACUAGCGGCUUGGAGGUAAGUGCCAUGGUUCACCUUCCGAGUGGGGUUGUGCAACCUCUUAUCCUCCUCUGCCAGAGGGGAGCCUGACUUCAGGGCACUGGUAGCAAUCAAUAUAGCUGAACUAACUCUGAAUUUUCUGCAACUCUGGGCUUUCCCAGACGUAGCGGACCCUUAAGAGUUGGGCUUUUUUGGUGUGCUUUGGAUCUAGUUUCAAAUAGGUUUUGUGAAGGGUAUUGGCAUGUGUCAGUGUGCUUGUGAGACAGUCACCUUUUCACUUUCCUAUUCUGAGUUUGGUUUUGCAAUUAAGUAUUAUUCGUAAUUUUUUCGUAUUUAUUUUUCUUGGCUGAAAUAAGGUGAUUCCUUGCAUGUACAGGUGCUCUGAAGACCUUUGCAGAAAUGCUGCCUUUACUCCCAGGGCUGGGCUUCUUCCUUUUGGUUGGUGAGUAUUACCGUGAGGGUGACGGGUGUCCCGGGAGGAUUUUCCAUACCAGCAGCUGUAGCUGAGGUAAAGCUCAAAAGAGAAAAUUGUGCUGAAAGACCAUU
rnacentral:lncRNA from 1 species